CAUUGUGAAUUUCCAUGGCAGCAUUGGACGCGACCAUUGAACACGGAUCGUCGAUCGAGUCGUCUACCAAGAGAGUGGGUCAAGGUGGCCGUCUUCGUGAUCUCCUUAGUUCCGCGUUCUACUGGCGGGUUUCGUUCAUUCGUUUAUUCGGUGAAUAUGGAUAGUGUGUGCAUCGACAUGUAUACACGCGUGUUCCUUCACUUAUAUGUAUGUGCGACACGAUUGUAUGUAGGUACGGAUAUAACCUAUGUGCCGCGUCAUCAACCACUGCGAACCUACACCGUCAUCAGAAGCGAAAGAUGCUGGCGUCGCCAAAUCUUCCCUUUCUCCACCUUCUAUACGCGGCGAGAGUAAACGUGACGUCACAAGCUUAAAGCUGCUAGACGAAAUGAGAAGAACCGAUUGAUUCGUCCUUUUCGUUUCGUUUAUCUUCGUACUCUCCUUACUCGAAAGUUGUCUAUAUAAGUGAUGAAGAAUCUUGGACUCAAUGAAGGAAUGAAUUAUUAUUGGUACUGUUACUGAUGGUUGCAUAUAUUCUUGAAGCAUUUUGAAGGAAUUGUUAUUUUUGUGAUAUUUUCUUAGACUUUAAUCCGAGGCCUAACCUAAAUAUUUUUUUGAGAUAUUACAGAAAAAAAUUAUUUUUAUUAUUAUAAAUAUCUAUGACCGCCUAUUGUAAUAUCUUUAUGCAUUGUUAUAUAUAAUCAAUGAAAUGACAUCAUACCACCAACAUAGCAAUGCAAACAUAAGAACAAUCUUGAUAUUAUCAUACGUGUGUGGUCUGUGAUAAUUUAUAAUCGUGAUAUCAAUCCCUCGAAAGAAAUACGAUUAAUAGUUGUAAACAAGAUGUAAGAAAACAAUUCAUUAUACACUGGAAACAUUUUAACAUCUCCUACUGAAAGAUUCGAAACAUUUAUAUAAGAUCCGAGACUCUUAUAUACACUUGCCACUGUUUAUCUAAAAUUUACCGACACACAAAAGGUAGGUGAACGAGAUGAUGCACGUACAGAACAGAAUCGUUAUGUACUUACAUUACAUACGACCACUGAUGGAAGAGGCAGUAGCGUCCACGUCACUCGGUAUCGCUUGCCAAUUGGCUGGGUGCUCGAAACGUUUCAUAAUGCGUUCGAACGGAGUUAUAAAACGAGCGAAACUCGAGCCUGCAACCGCUCUACGGCUCUCUUAUCUUCUCUUUUCGAAACGAUGCCAGAUGCACGUAUAUACAUGAAUAUUAACACGUUCGGUCAACUCAUCUUCCCUUUCUUUCUUCAUAGAAGAAAUCGACAAAAAUGAAGAACGAAUUCAACAAUUUGAAGAACGAAUAAAUGAUAAUUUAAAAAUGGUGAAGAGAAGAAGUUAAAAGAUAGAGAUUAUUAAAAAAUUGCUCACAUAAUUGAAUUGAUGAUUUUGGAUGUAUUUGAAACUGUAUUUAAAGCUAAAUAUUAUCUCUGUGAGAUAGAUAUGAUAUUAUAAUAUUAAUAGAUACUACUCAUAUCACUAUAAGUUUUUAAUGAUAUGAAUAUAUUUGCGUACAAUUCUUGAAAAUUAUUCUUGAGAUAUUUUUUAUAUGAUAAAAUUCAUUGAAUAAAAAUUGUCAGAUUAUUUUCAAUGCAGAGGAAUAUUUGCAAGGAGUACUUUCAAAUAUGGAAAGGAAAAUUUUAAUCUUAAAUAUAUCAGUUUUCUAAAGAUUGUUCUUGAAAUAUAUAUUGAAAUAUAUAUUCUUGAAAUAUAAUUUGUUAAUAAUGCAAUGGAUAAUGCAUUUAUGAAAAAUAAAUUUCAAGAGUUUUAUUAUCAAUUGUAUUCAUGUAAACAUUAUGGUAUAAGUUUCUGGUUCACAUCUAUCCUCAAUAAUCGAUUAAACGUAUAAUAGCGUUA